UACGUAGGCCCCGAGCGUUGUCCGGAUUUAUUGGGCGUAAAGCGAGCGCAGGUGGUUUAUUAAGUCUGGUGUAAAUGGCAGUGGCUCAACCAUUGUAUGCAUUGGAAACUGGUAGACUUGAGUGCAGGAGAGGAGAGUGGAAUUCCAUGUGUAGCGGUGAAAUGCGUAGAUAUAUGGAGGAACACCGGUGGCGAAAGCGGCUCUCUGGCCUGUAACUGACACUGAGGCUCGAAAGCGUGGGGAGCAAACAGG
rnacentral:rRNA from 1 species